AAUUAUUUAGGUACAGAGGGA
rnacentral:miRNA from 1 species